rnacentral:rRNA from 1 species
AGCAGUAGCCGCGGGAAUACAGAGGGUGCAAGCGUUAAUCGGAGUUACUGGGCGUAAAGCGCGCGUAGGUGGUUUGUUAAGUUGGAUGUGAAAUCCCCGGGCUCAACCUGGGAACUGCAUCCAAAACUGGCAGGCUAGAGUAGGGCAGAGGGUGGUGGAAUUUCCUGUGUAGCGGUGAAAUGCGUAGAUAUAGGAAGGAACACCAGUGGCGAAGGCGACCACCUGGGCCCAUACUGACACUGAGGUGCGAAAGCGUGGGGAGUAAACAGGAUUAGAUACCCGCGUAGUCCCUGUCUCUUAUAC